UUGGAGGGCAAGUCUGGUGCCAGCAGCCGCGGUAAUUCCAGCUCCAAUAGCGUAUAUUAAAGUUGUUGUGGUUAAAAAGCUCGUAGUAGAAGCUCGGGCUCCGGCCGACCGGUCCGCCUCACCGCGUGCACUGGUUCGGCCGGGCCUUCACCUUCUGCGGAACCGCAUCUCCUUCACUGGGGGUGUCGGGGAAACAGGACGUUUACUGUGAAAAAAUUAGAGUGCUCCAGGCAGGCCUAUGCUCGAAUAGAUUAGCAUGGAAUAAUGGAAUAGG
rnacentral:rRNA from 1 species